GGGUGCAUCACUGGGCAAUGACUUCUUUGGCUGUUGGCACUUCAACUGCAUCUCAUUUAGGUGAUUAUGCUGAGAAGCUUAGCUCACUGCCAAAGAAGAUUUGCCCUGCAAUUCACCC